rnacentral:SRP_RNA from 1 species
GGCUCGGGUCUAUGCGAUUGUAACGCCCAAAUCUUGUCAGGACCGGAAGGUAGCAGCAAUACGGGAUGCUUACAAUUGGCGUAGAACCCGGGUCUUU